rnacentral:rRNA from 1 species
UGGCGGCUGCUAUACUGCAGUCGAACGAAACUUUCUUACACCGAAUGCUUGCAUUCAUCGUAAGAAGUUGAGUGGCGGACGGGUGAGUAACACGUGGGUAACCUGCCUAAAAGAAGGGGAUAACACUUGGAAACAGGUGCUAAUACCGUAUAUCUCUAAGGAUCGCAUGAUCCUUAGAUGAAAGAUGGUUCUGCUAUCGCUUUUAGAUGGACCCGCGGCGUAUUAACUAGUUGGUGGGGUAACGGCCUACCAAGGUGAUGAUACGUAGCCGAACUGAGAGGUUGAUCGGCCACAUUGGGACUGAGACACGGCCCAAACUCCUACGGGAGGCAGCAGUAGGGAAUCUUCCACAAUGGACGCAAGUCUGAUGGAGCAACGCCGCGUGAGUGAAGAAGGUCUUCGGAUCGUAAAACUCUGUUGUUAGAGAAGAACACGAGUGAGAGUAACUGUUCAUUCGAUGACGGUAUCUAACCAGCAAGUCACGGCUAACUACGUGCCAGCAGCCGCGGUAAUACGUAGGUGGCAAGCGUUGUCCGGAUUUAUUGGGCGUAAAGGGAACGCAGGCGGUCUUUUAAGUCUGAUGUGAAAGCCUUCGGCUUAACCGGAGUAGUGCAUUGGAAACUGGAAGACUUGAGUGCAGAAGAGGAGAGUGGAACUCCAUGUGUAGCGGUGAAAUGCGUAGAUAUAUGGAAGAACACCAGUGGCGAAAGCGGCUCUCUGGUCUGUAACUGACGCUGAGGUUCGAAAGCGUGGGUAGCAAACAGGAUUAGAUACCCUGGUAGUCCACGCCGUAAACGAUGAAUGCUAGGUGUUGGAGGGUUUCCGCCCUUCAGUGCCGCAGCUAACGCAAUAAGCAUUCCGCCUGGGGAGUACGACCGCAAGGUUGAAACUCAAAGGAAUUGACGGGGGCCCGCACAAGCGGUGGAGCAUGUGGUUAAUUCGAAGCACG